AGAAAAUUAGUUAAACUACAUAACAAUGGGCUGUCAAACCAUAAUUACUAGCUAAACCCUAGUAUUUUCUU
rnacentral:tRNA from 1 species